CCGUAGGUUAACCUGCGGAGGGAUCAUUGCUGGAACGCGCCCCAGGCGCACCCAGAAACCCUUUGUGAACUUAUACCUUACUGUUGCCUCGGCGCUAGCUGGUCCUCCGGGGCCCCUCACCCCCGGGUGUUGAGACAGCCCGCCGGCGGCCAACCCAACUCUUGUUUUUACACUGAAACUCUGAGAAUAAAACAUAAAUGAAUCAAAACUUUCAACAACGGAUCUCUUGGUUCUGGCAUCGAUGAAGAACGCAGCGAAAUGCGAUAAGUAAUGUGAAUUGCAGAAUUCAGUGAAUCAUCGAAUCUUUGAACGCACAUUGCGCCCUCUGGUAUUCCGGAGGGCAUGCCUGUUCGAGCGUCAUUUCAACCCUCAAGCCUGGCUUGGUGAUGGGGCACUGCUUCUUGCCCAAGAAGCAGGCCCUGAAAUUCAGUGGCSAGCUCGCCAGGACCCCGACCGCAGUAGUUAAACCCUCCCUCUGGAACGCCCUGGCGGUGCCCUACCGUUAAGGCCCCAACUUCUGAAGGUUUGACGGCGGAGCAGGGGGGGAAUACCCGCUGAAGUACCUCACAGAAGAUAAGCGGAGGA
rnacentral:rRNA from 1 species